rnacentral:misc_RNA from 1 species
AAGUCGUAACAAGGUUUCCGUAGGUGAACCUGCGGAAGGAUCAUUAACACAUUAGAAAUAAUGUUUAAUAACAAAAAACAACCUUAACUAAAUUAAUACAAUGAUACAAACUCUGUCUAAUCUAAACAAAAAACGUUUUUUAUUCUUUUCGAUACGAACAAAAAGGAUUCAAUUUUUUAACCAAACUAACCAAAAAACAAACAAUAACUUUUUGUAAUACUGCGGAUUACUCCAGUAAUGACUAGUUAGUAGGUUUGAGUGUCUCGAAAGAGAUAUUCGCUGAACGUGAAAGUGAAAAGGUCGAUUAACAGUUGCAUGAAAAUUCACUUAAACAUAAAAAAAACACUUUCGACUCUAACGGGCGAAUUUCAGCUUUUUUAGAAAUAAAAAACAAAAACACAAUACAACUCUUAACAAUGGAUAUCUUGGCUCUC